rnacentral:rRNA from 1 species
GAUGAACGCUGGCGGCGUGCCUAAUACAUGCAAGUCGAGCGAAUGGAUUAAGAGCUUGCUCUUAUGAAGUUAGCGGCGGACGGGUGAGUAACACGUGGGUAACCUGCCCAUAAGACUGGGAUAACUCCGGGAAACCGGGGCUAAUACCGGAUAACAUUUUGAACCGCAUGGUUCGAAAUUGAAAGGCGGCUUCGGCUGUCACUUAUGGAUGGACCCGCGUCGCAUUAGCUAGUUGGUGAGGUAACGGCUCACCAAGGCAACGAUGCGUAGCCGCCCUGACAGGAUGAUCGGCCAGACUGGGACUGGGACACGGCCCAGACGCCUACCGGGGGCAGCAGUAGGGAAGCUUCCUCAAGGGACGAAAGUCUGACGGGGCAACGCCGCGUGAGUGAUGAAGGCUUUCGGGUCGUAACACUCUGUUGUUAGGGAAGAACAAGUGCUAGUUGAAUAAGCUGGCACCUUGACGGUACCUAACCAGAAAGCCACGGCUAACUACGUGCCAGCAGCCGCCGUAA